rnacentral:rRNA from 1 species
AUGGUGGCGGAGGCGCGGACGUGCGAGUCGAGGAGCCACAGGUUCAGGGGGCCCUGCGUGCGCAGGUCCAACUGCGCCAACGUCUGCAAGACCGAGGGCUUCCCCGACGGCAAGUGCCGCGGAUUCCGACGCCGCUGCUUCUGCACCACCCACUGCCACCAUUAA